rnacentral:lncRNA from 1 species
UGCAGCAUUCUCGGUUUGGAGCUGGAAGAAACAAUUUGGAUGUUGGUUUGUUGAAGAAAAAAACGAAAUUGGAAGUGGAGAAGGAAGAGAGAAGGUGCAUUCAAUUUUUACCCGAUUUGGCCAAGCAUAGUAUGAGCACAUUUUCAUAGAAUGAAGAUUUCCAUUUUGGUCUUGUCUUUUGCUAGCAAUAUUGACGUGAAUUGCUUGAAGAAGAGAAUGUAUUGUGAUUGUUUUUGUUCCCUUUGACUUUGCUUAUGUGGCACAUUGGUAGAAGCAACUCAACUUUUUGUGUUGAAGCAUUUAAAGCAUCUCAUUUGACCUUUGGUUUUGGAAACACCAAAUUUCUUUGGACUUUAAGAGGAGGACGGUCUUGGCUUGUUGGAGAGGGUAUGCCACGUUUUUUUUAUGGUAGAAAGGUAGAAGGAAGGAUUUUCUUGGAGAAUGAGGCACAUGGGACAAAAAGAGAGCAUAUUCAAUUGUUUAUUGAAGAAAGAAGACAAAUUUGGAUGUGGUGCAAGGAACCUCANGGCCAAGAGGUGNUUUUAGGCCAUUUGCAUUUUUAAUUUUAUUUGGUUGGAUGUAUUUNGUCACAUGAAUGUGUAGGAAAAAGCAUGUUUGAUUAUUCCUUAUUUGAAUUAGUUUAAUUAGUAGGAUUAGUUGCUUUUGAUUUCUUUAAUUUAGUUUUGCAUUUAAUUUAAUUUAACUGUGUUGGGUAGUUGUUUGUUGUCUUGUUGGGGUCUAGUAUUUUAUUUUAUUUUGUUUGAAUGUUGUCUAAGGUUUUUAAUAGUGUUAGUUUAAUUACCAUGCUAGCUUAAAUUAGUUUGUUUGCAUCUGUUAUAUUGAGUUCUUUAAUUUUUGCAAACCUUCACAAACCCCCCCCUUUUUUCGUGUUAGACUUGAUUCUUGAACCGCCAAAUUGGUCUUUGGGAGACGACCUAGGAGUCAUUCCCUAGCACUAUACUGCAUUUAAAUUGCAAUCAAAUUUGCAUGGGCCACGACACCCAUCACCAGGCCCAUAAGUACACCGCCUGGCGGUAGGUUGCACCACCUGGUGGUAAGCACGACACUUGAUAUCACCCCUCAGCGCUGCCGCUUGAGCGUCCUCCAGAAAUUCCACUAAAGAGUCCACCGCCCGACGGUGGGUUGCACCGCCCGGUGGUCUCUGCGAUUCUCAUCUCACCCCUUGGCGGUACCCCUUAAGCGCGUGGCAGAUGAUUCAUUAAAGGUCACACUGCCCGGCAGUGGUUUCACCGCCCGUCGAUGGCUGCGAUUCUUCUUUUCUUCAAUUGUCCACCUUCUUUUGCAUCCA